rnacentral:misc_RNA from 1 species
AAACAAUUCACAUUUGGGCAGACUUUCUCAUAUUUAAAAAUCCCGAAUGCAAUGUACCAAAAAAAUAGUAUCCCAAAUGCAGCUCCAUCAAUCUUCCUAUAUGUGGAUUGAAGCUAAGAUGUUUUCCCACGAAGAUUAGGGGCACAUAUCGGAUAUGAAAGGUGGACUUCAUUCGUAGAAAUAAAUCAUCUCCAACAAGCAUGGA